UACGUAGGGUGCGAGCGUUGUCCGGAAUUAUUGGGCGUAAAGCGCACGUAGGCGGCCUGGUAAGUCUCACUGUGAAAGCCCGGGGCUCAACCCCGGGAGGCCAGGGGACACUGCAAGGCUAGAGACAAGUAGAGGCUGGUAGAAUUCCGGGUGUAGCGGUGGAAUGCGUAGAGAUCCGGAGGAAUACCUGAGGCGAAGGCGGCCAGCUGGGCUUGAUCUGACGCUGAGGUGCGAAAGCGUGGGGAGCGAACAGG
rnacentral:rRNA from 1 species